rnacentral:lncRNA from 1 species
UUUGAAAUUUAUAAGAGUUAGCUACACUUAUCCACGCAUUGUAGUAACUGAUCCAUGUGUUUGAGUUUCAAGAUGGCUUUGUGAAUAGCAUGGACAAUCACCUGAACGAAAAGACAGUUGGAAAGCAUCUAACCAUGGUUUUGAGGAGAAAUAUGUAUUCCUCUUGACCAAGGUUUUCGGUAAUGAUGAAUUUGGAUGUCAUAUCCAAGGUAUUCUUAUGUUUAUGUUUAUGGGGCUGAUAAUUUAUAUACAGUGUAAAUUAUAUGUUCUUCAAUUUGAUAGUUUACAUGUAUCUUGAGUGCAGGCUCAACAGAGGACAUUUUUUAGACUAUAUACUAUCAUGCCCUGAAAACUUCUUUUUCAUAAUUUCAUUUCAUUCAUUUCAAGUAAAGUAGUAGUGCAUGAUGAUGAUAAUGCAGAGUUUGCCAAACAUGCUCGAAGAACAUGAAAAGUUAAUCAACAAGUUUUCUUUUUCAUUUUUCCAUUUCAAUUCUUGGUUUAUUACUAUGCAAGAUUUUUCUAUUCAUUAUAUUUCUUGCAUGUUUCAGUUCAUUCAUCUUGGGAUUCUUGGUUAUGGUGGCUUAUGCUUCCUUUUAGGUGCAAGUAAGUGUUACUUUCUAUAAGUUAAUUAAGACAUCUAAACAUCAAAG